rnacentral:ncRNA from 1 species
UUCUUAUUCAGAGAGGUGGAGGGAAUUGGCCCUUAGAAGCCUCGGCAGCGGACUAUUGAUAGUACUGUGCCAAAUCCAACAAGCAGGUAAGCUUGAAAAAUAAGAA